UUUUUUUAAUUUUGGAGUCGUUGUAAACAUUGGAAUUCACCUCUCAACACCUCACAGAGUACAAGCAAGCAUACAACACUUGUGAGAUUAAGUGUGAGGAAUCUGAGAACAAAGAAAUAAAGAGAGAGUGUGAGGACCUUUCUUUUACAACUAACCCGUUUGUUGUUUUGUAGUGACACUUCUUGGCUAAACUCAAUUGAGCCGGAUG
rnacentral:lncRNA from 1 species